GGAUCCCGCCGCCGCCCCGCCCCCACCUCCUCCCCGUCUCCGGCGCCGCCCCUCCCCCACCUACUCCUGGAUCCCGGCGCUGCCCCGCCCCGCCCCCACCUCCUCUCUCGCUCCCGGCGCCCCGCUGCUUCCACGCGCCACCGCCGGCCCCCUGCUUCCACGCGCCGCCGGCGGCCCCGCUGCUUCUAGCCGCCACUGUCGGGAGCCACCAUAGCGCCACCAAUCGCCACGACCAGUCGUCCCUACCGCCGCCUUGGCGACCUACCCCCACCCCCCGCAGGGGGCCAUCGCUUCGUGUCACCGCAUCCGGUGGCCACAGCGUGCCGUCCAACUCGGCAGUCCAACUGCUUGCUCCACGGUCGGUCGCUCAAGUAGCUGCGUGCAGGCAAACAUCUCCACGGGCGACAAGUUCUUCUUUCACAACUUGUUGCUGCUGCUGCACCUUCUCCUUCGACCAGGCUAAGUAAAAUGUUCAGAAUUUCAUCUAAUCUAGUUCGAAUUUCAUCUAACAUCCGGCGACGCACCGCGCCCUCGCCUCCCACCUCCGCGACGGACCAUGGAUCUGCCUCCACAGGGGAGGCCACCGGUGGGAAGGCGUAGCAUAGGCAACAACCACCUCCGCCCCUUCCUGCUCCUCCCCGCCGCGCCACGACCACCUCUGUCGCCUCGGGAUCCCAGCUGCAUGCAUUCAGGAGCAAGAGAAAAGAGAGGUUAAUUGUCCGUCCACACUGCCGCUCCUCCCAAGUCCACACUAGUUUUAUCACAAAAAGGAGAGGAUGUCUAUUUUAUCUCCUGAAACACAAACUAGGUGUUCUCAGUUCAGUACGUGAGCUAUCUCAAGUUCUUGGAAAACAUAUAAAACAGUACGGUGUUUGUGCAAAAAAUUCAGACUGUUUUCUAAUUAUACAACAGUUUACUAUAUGGUAGAAUUGUAGUUGUUCAGUAAAAAGGUUCACUACCCCCACUGGGGAAUUUUCUAUCCGUUUUGUCUUCUUUUCCAACUGAAAGUAGUAGCAAAAUGUGAACUGAAGCUGUUGUGGAGCAAAUUAAGAAUAGUUGCCUACUUUUUUGCCACUGCUACCUUGCCACCUACAUUAAUGCUACUACUACUACUACUAAUUAUCAUGUUGCUAAACCUUGUGUUCUGGACAAUUUGUGGGAAAGUGUGGAGGCGCAAGUUGCUCCGCGACUGAGGAAGGUGCACCCCGGUGCUUGCCAUGGCUGAAGACGGCCUCCAACCGCGGGGCCCAAAGCAGCCAGCCUUUGUUCACAUGCGUGUCUCCUUCCUGCUUCACCUAGCAGUCCUACUUCUCCAUGACGACAAGGAUGACGUCGCCAUGCGUGCACGCUCCAAACUGUCCCCUGUCGCAGCCCCACCACUCGUUGCUGAUGCACUCCAACCCGAGGACCUCCACGAUGGAGGUCGCCUCGUAGCCUAGCGACGAGGUAACUCAUCUUCCUUGUGCGUCCUUCGCCCACUGUGCGCCCUGCUGCCCUCGACCUCCUUCCUCACAGGCAUGCUACCCCAACUUUUGUUUUGAUUUUCAGUUCAACUUGUGUGUUCUUUUCAGUGCAUUAUGCUUUAAAUGUGCAGAGUCCUGAGGCAAAAUGAUACAUUUUAGUUUGCUUUGCCGCAAGGGCAUUGCUGAAACUUAACUUCUGUCUAAACCUAUAACCAUCCAUUUCGAAAAUAGAUGCUUUCAAAAUAGAUGCUAGUUUACUUUGCAUAGAGCUUGCAGCUUAUGUUUGUGUACUUUGAACUUAAGCUGGUCUCCCUCUUGUACAUCAAUUUUUCAGUAUUGGUCUAGUCAGUAUGGUGAAGAUGAAGCUCCUUUUUGAACUUCUCCAGUUAAUAUACAUGCACUUGGUCAUCUUUUUUACAUGUACUAACAUCAUCUCAUUCGGAGUUGUUCGUGUGCUUGUAACACAAAUCAGUUCAAAUCUCAAGAGAAGUAAGCUCAAAUAAGAAAAAUACAGAAGUUUGAAGCCGAGAUGUUUGCAUAUGUUUUGUUGAAUUGAGUUCCUUCCUAAAAAAUAGCACUAAAUAUGUUUGCAUAUGUUUGCACAUCUUUUCAGUACAAACUUUAAAAAAAGUUUCUUUCUGAACUUCUCAAAAUUAAUAUACAUGAACUUGAUUAUCUUUUUAACAUGUAUUGAUAUCAGCUUCGUUGGAUUUUUGUGCGUGUGCUUGUAACACAAUCAGUUCAAAUCUCGAGAGACCAUACGUUCAAGUUCACUAGUAUUUAUAAAUGUUGGUUGCAGUACUAGUAUUUACAAAUUUCUUAUAAUCUCCACAGGUCGGAGGCCGUACAUAUUUCUUAUUCCUAUUGCUAUAAGAUCAAGUGAUCAAAUGCUAUGAGCUCGCGUGUUAUUCUCCAAUUAGUUCAAGUGAUCAUUGUUUUAUUUUAUUGUGUAUAUGUCUAAGAGUAGACUUUGUGACCUAAACUUUCUACUUACUGCUUAGAGAAGGUCCCUUUUGUGGCAUGAACUUCCUUCUUAUUGCUUAGAGAAGGUCCCUUGGAAAAGAUGACUACCUUUCCAAGUUGGAUUAUCCUCAAACAGUUUAUAUUUUGAUGUGGAAUAGGAAAAUAGGUUUGCUUUGGAGUGUGUUUUACAAUUAGAACCUUUCAGACUUCGUAUUCUUUGAGUAUGCAAAAAAAAAAACAGAGGAGAAAAGCUGGCUACCUGUGUAUAGUUUUUAUAAUUUCCAUGGGAAACUAAUAUUCAUGCACCUCUUUGGUGGAUGUUUUGAUAUAUUUCCUUCACGAAUUGUAGUUGUCAAAUGGUGUUACACAAUUACUAUUCUAGCAUCAUUGUUUAUAUUGUAUUCUUUUAGCAUUCUUGCAACCCUAUUAACAACAUCUUUUUGUGCAGUGUUUGUCAGGUUUUUUUUAUUUAUGGACAUCUUGGGCUUGCUGGGUGCAGAAUCAAAGAAGGCCAGUGAGAGGUACUAGUAGAAGAGGAAGAAGUAAUGUGAAAAAUGAGAUAAAUGUGAGAAGACCAAGUACAAAAGCGUGAGAGGGAUUCCGAUUUUUUUUUUCAGAUUCUUGCUGUACACAUACCAAAGUUUUUAUGCACUAUGCAUCUGUAUGAAUGGUUAAUACCUCAAUGGUGCACUAUGCAUCUUUGGCAGUUUUUAUGCAUUUUUA